ensembl:lncRNA
CAGAGAUCACUGAUGACGUAGACCUCAUGUGACCAGGAGUCGACGUGUGCAGAAGUCCUGCUAGUCUGGUCCUUGUUCCCUUCUGGGUACCAGCUUCCUUCAGCAGCGGUAGCCGGUGGGGCCAACGGUGGGGAAGGAGAAGGAGUCUACUGGCUGAAAUUUUUCAGGUCUGCUACUCUGAAAAGGCCAGGAAGAAAAGUGAUCGGAUCCGUACAGGAAGAUGAAGGAAAUAUUAUAAAGACCCCUGGGGUGGAGAAGUAGUUGUUUUCAAAGAAAAAUAAGUAGAAGAAAAGAAAGGAAGAGG